rnacentral:lncRNA from 1 species
UUAUCCGAUUAAUCGUGACAUUGCAAUAGUCUAAUGGUGGGUGCUUCCUUCCUUGUUUGUUUUGAGUUUGAAUAUGUCGUGCUUCUUUUAUAUGGGGUUCCUACACAGAAAACUUGAAAUAGAAACAAACAAAUAUAUAAAAUCGACUGUUAGUCGUACUCCUAAAACAAUUUAACAAUUAUCCAAAAAUAAUUACAAUCCCAAAAAUAAAAAAUAAAAAUUUAGUCGUCCUUCACCUCAUCAAAGUCCAUCUUUUCAUUCUUUCUCCU